GUUUAAUUGAACGUUUUUUUAGUUGGAGGGGCUAAUUGCACUUUGCUAUGUAGUUGGAGGGUCUAUUUGAUCCUUAUCCCUAUUUAUUGAGAAGAAAUGUC